rnacentral:rRNA from 1 species
AGAGUUUGAUCAUGGCUCAGGAUGAACGCUAGCUACAGGCUUAACACAUGCAAGUCGAGGGGAAACGACAUCGAAAGCUUGCUUUUGAUGGGCGUCGACCGGCGCACGGGUGAGUAACGCGUAUCCAACCUGCCCAUCACUUGGGGAUAACCUUGCGAAAGUAAGACUAAUACCCAAUGACGUCUCUAGAAGACAUCUGAAAGAGAUUAAAGAUUUAUCGGUGAUGGAUGGGGAUGCGUCUGAUUAGCUUGUGGCGGGGUAACGCCACAAGGCGACGAUCAGGUAGGGUUCUGAGAGGAACGGUCCCCCANAUUGGAACUGAGACACGGUCCAAACUCCGUACGGGAGGCA